UUAUAGCCUAUAAACUUUUUGUUUAAUGCGCAUGCGCCAAAAUACUACGUCAUGACGGCGCACUACUUCACCAGAGUUUGAAAAAUGCACUUUCAGCCAUCUUUCUGUGAUCGCGAUGCGCGAGGCGACUUUGCUGAUCAAAGAAGAAGAAAACAAAGGAGUGCACGUUUGGAUGACUACAGAUGAAUUUGGUUGCUGAAAAUAUUUUAAUUGAACUCCGACUUUUUAAAUCAUUUUAAAUGACUUAAGGUUAAAUUUGCAGAACAAAAUUCAAAGAUCUGAUCUCGUAACAUUCAAAGAUAUUUACAUUUAAUCCAUCUAAUCGCUAUUAUAACCACCAGUAAUGUUCAAUAUAUUACCCCCUCUAGAAAUACUGCUUAUAAUCUAUUUUUCUUUUUGCUUUUGAAAAGUGAGGUGUUCAAUUACUGUUUGUGUUUGUAAUAUGUAAUAUUUUUGUGCUUAUCUAGUUAUAUAUUCAUUUUGUAGGAUCAGUACAGAUCUGUCAAUGGAGAUACAGUGCAAGCUGUGUGGAAUCAAAGACCCGUAUUGAUGAGGCCAGUGUCAGUGAAGAUGGUGUGGUCACUGGAAUCCUGGUGUUUGUGGGAAAUGUGAAGGAGCCUCUCCCAGGAUUCUACAACAGUGUUGUCCUGAUGACUGAGGUAAUUCAUCUUGGGUGAUGCAGUUGCGGUCAAAAGUUUACUUACACCUUGCAGAAUGAACUGCUUCAUCAGGGAAGUACUAAAUAAAA